GCCGGGCACGGUGGCUUGUGCCUGUAAUCCAAGCACCGGGGAGGCUGAGGCUGGCGGACGGCUUGAGCCCGGGGGUUCUGGGCUGCAGCGAGCUGUGCUGAGCGGGCGUCCGCGCUAAGGCCGGCAUCGAUAUGGUGGUCCUCGGGGAGCUGUGGGCCACCAGGUCGCUUAAGGAGGGGUGAACCGGCCCAGGUCGGAGACGGAGCAGGUCAAAGCUCCCGUGCCGGUCAGUAGUGGGAUCACGCCUGUGAACAGUCCCUGUAGCACAGCCUGGGCAAGAGAGCGGGACCCAGCCUCUU
rfam:Phaethon lepturus contig85770, whole genome shotgun sequence.